rnacentral:tRNA from 3 species
GCCCAGAUGGCGGAAUUGGUAGACGCGCUGGUCUCAAACACCAGUGGGGCAACCCGUGCCGGUUCGAUCCCGGCUCUGGGUA